UACAGAGGUCCCAAGCGUUGUUCGGAUUCACUGGGCGUAAAGGGUGCGUAGGCGGUGAGGCAAGUCUGAUGUGAAAGCUUCGAGCUCAACUCGGAAAAGGCAUUGGAAACUGCCCUGCUGGAGGCCUGGAGGGGGGACUGGAAUACUUGGUGUAGCAGUGAAAUGCGUAGAGAUCAAGUGGAACACCAGUGGCGAAGGCGAGUCCCUGGACAGGACCUGACGCUGAGGCACGAAAGCCAGGGGAGCAAACGGG
rnacentral:rRNA from 1 species